rnacentral:rRNA from 1 species
AUUGAACGCUGGCGGCAGGCCUAACACAUGCAAGUCGAACGAGUGGCGGACGGGUGAGUAAUGUCUGGGAAACUGCCUGAUGGAGGGGGAUAACUACUGGAAACGGUAGCUAAUACCGCAUACCAUCGGAUGUGCCCAGAGGGGAUGAGCUAGUCGGUGGGGUAAAGGCUCACCUAGGCGACGAUCCCUAGCUGGUCUGAGAGGAUGACCAGCCACACUGGAACGCAGACACGUUCCAGACUCCUACGGGAGGCAGCAGUGGGGAAUAUUGCACAAUGGGCGCAAGCCUGAUGCAGCCAUGCCGCGUGUAUGCAGAAUGCCUUCGGGUUGUAAAGUACUUUCAGCGGGGAGGCGUUACCCGUAGAAGAAGUACCGGCUAACUCCGUGCCAGCAGCCGCGGUAAUUC